AUAACCUAGGUCACUGGUCAAAAAUUUUACUGAGAAACUGCAAAGGCAAGAAAUCCAUCUGCAGUCUUACUAUUGAAAAGUGAAACUUGCUAAGAUGACAUAAAAAAAAAAAAACCUAGGCAUGCCAAUAUUCAUGACUAUCAAAAGAAAUGUGUAUGCAUAUACAAAGAUACUCCAAAGCCAAACAUGAUGUUUGAGGAGCACCGUGCUUUAAGAGACAGAAAUGAAGAGAAAAUAAGAUAUCUAACAGAACCAGAGCACUCCUAUACAGAGAUGGAAUAAAAGCCUAGGCCAUAGCCAGUGAAAAUUCUGCCAGAUGGAUAUUCUUUUUCUUCAGCAAAGCCUUGAAAACAGCGCUCUGAGUUCCAAAGCUGAUUGGUUCAUCUUCCUGUGCUCUGCAUUGCUGUCCCAUUGCUUGGAAACUGUUAACCAAGAAGAAGCUAGAGAUGGCGACAUGAAAAAUUAGACUCUAGCUUGAAAAAAAAUAAAUAAACAGGUACGCCUGGAGGAGGCAGGAAGCCGGCUUUGCAGUUCAGGAGGCCAGGCCCCCACAAGCCUCAGAAGGAGGGGAGGGAGAAAAGCAAAAACUCUGUGGAACAGGGAACUUUGGAACCAUUCAGGGGAUGACCUGGAACAGGAAACUG